CCGGGCUGCCGCGCCCGCGCCUGCUCGCUCGCACUCACUAAGGGGCUGUUUAAACUUCCUGUGGUUGCUCCUGGCAACGUCCUCCCCGCAUCAGCCCCUCUUGUGGGAUCUGCCAGCUCCCAUGGGGUGUCUCUGCACACCCACAGGUUCCCCUGGCUCUGGGAACCCCCUUUUUCCUCGGGGACACGUGCUCAGCCGCAGGACUUACCGUUCCUGCCACUGUGCCCCUCGCCGACUGUCUUUGGAAAGACAGGUUCAGCCCACAUUUUCUGAUCUUUUCCCUAUAGAAUAAAAGGAAAAUAGGAGGACACAGAGGGACUCUAGCUGACCAGCUCAGACCAAAUACUUGUCUUUUGAAGAUGGUUAAUGAUAGGCAAGUGAAUGGCAGCCAAGCUGACUAUGGCCAUGUGCACUUCCAUCUGAGAUAUCAGAAGACCCAUCAACUUCCCUCUAAAGCAGGUUCAGCUGAUUUGUGACCUGCUGGCAAUCUCGGCUUGAUAUUUUCCUUGAAUGGGUCAAAAAUGAGUUGAACAAGGUGACUGUUAAAAUGAAAAAAGGAUAGCUUUUUAAAGGACAUGAUGACCCAAGUCUCUCAAGCACGGUUACGGGGCUUCGCUGACUAGAAGAAGAUCUGAUACUUUUGGCUAGAAGAUCUGCCACGCUGACAAUGAAUUUACUGCCUGGAAAUGAGCCAACUUCACCAUCUACUUAUCUCCUAUUUAGCUUGCUAGUGCUAUUGGCAAAUUGCAUCAACAUACCACCAUCCCUUUCAUUCUGAGGGAAAUGGAAAAACUUAAAAGAUGUUCAAUAUUUUUUGUGUGAAAUGUAGAUACCAGUGAGGGUGAUAAAAGCUUCAGCAACAAGGAAAAAAGAACGAAAGCUGGCAGAAAUUGUGUGUUCUUUCAUGCUCUUUCAACUGUGUUUUUGGACCAGUGUGAUUACAAGGGAAUUAUAUUCUGAUGCAUAUACAUAUAUAUGCAUGUGCUGGGACAUCCAGACAGGCCACCCUUUAACAAAGAACACUGUCCCUGGAUGUGGUAAACGACCCAUGUUCUCAUUUUGGAGCUGUUCUCAAACUCACUAAUUAAUUCUACAACUCAUAAUCGUAAUUACCAUUAUAAUCUUUUUUUUUAAUAAUGAGUUUAAAUUCCACAGAAACCUGGCUUCAUUUCCACCCUCUGUCUCCAUACAGAAAAGCUGUUGAAUAAGCACAAUCUAUUUCUUAUCUUUCAGGAACUCAGGCUGGUUCACAGUGUAAGCAGCUAAGCUGAAAGAUUUAAUUCAUCUUGUUCAUUAAAAUUCAAAUAAUUAUAAAGUCAGAGAUGUUAACUUUUCAGUUAUUACAAUACAGCUGGCAAACAGAGACUGUUGCACCAACUGGGAGACUUAAAACCUCAUCUUUGGUGGCCAGGUAAUUUUGUUUAACAGUUUCACAGGAAUUUAAAUAAAUAUUUCUGAGAAAUCUGCUUUAUAAUAUUGUUGUUAUAAGUAAUUGAUUUAAAUGUUCUUUUCACAAUCUCAUGAUAUUUCACAUGACAUACAUGUAGGGAUUAUUUCAAGUGCCUCUGUGUGUGUUUCUUACUGUCCUUAAGUACUAGAUACAGUUCAGUGUAGAUAGGAAUAGCCCAUGACCCCUUUAUGUCCUGAUUCUGCAAUUUUUAUGGGCAAUUCCACUUACUUAUACAAGGUAGGUGGGAGUGUUUGAAACAUUUGUGCUCAGGAGACAGGGUAGAGCUGGAUUUAUAACCUUUGCUGAGGCAUUUUUGAUUCCUUUUUCUAACUUUUUGCUCACCGAAAUCCCCCCUUGAAUAAUUUUUCUUCACUAGCUGCAUUUGCCUUCUCAGCUCAAAACUUAGGAUGCUUCCAAGAAUAACCACCAAGAAAGUAAAGCGUAGAGUUAGCUACAAAGCUUUGGCCUUGCCACACUUAAAGACGAAAUAUUUCCACCAAGGCAUUUACUCUAGGGUAUAUUUUCACCUGCUCGUGCUACCCGUAAGAAAUGUUCUGAAUGGAUAUGGAUUUACCAUUUGUAAAACGAAUGUCUGUCCUUUAGGAAAUUCCCAUUAAAUUCAGCAGCACUGGUGUUCAUUUACUGCUUAAUUACACAUUUUCCUCAGUUAUAUGCCAGAAAAUGGACUUAGCUCCUACAAGACUUGAAGAAUGGUGGGAAUGAGUGAGACAAAAGGAAGAUAUUCAUAGCACAGCCAGCCUGGCCCCAUUUAUCAGCCAGAUUUCAAUUUUCAGCCUACUUUGAAAGAAAGAAACUAAAAAUUUGACUGACCACCAUGUCACCGUUAAGCCAUACAGAUGUGUCUCAUUGCAGCCCAGCGUGUUUGUGGAUGCAGUCGUUUGGAUAAGGAAGCUGGACAAAGGAGUGGAGGUUAUCUGGCAAUCUGCUGUUUUUUUGUGUCAUCAGAGAUAUUAGUAAUGCUUCUAGGGCAAAGGGGUAUUCUCUGAAUCCAGCCUCAAGAGAUGUGAAAAACUGCUGUGUUAUUUGACAGCCAAAGGUACCUAUUCUCAAUGCAAGGGGUAGCUCCUAGAAAUGUGUCCAAGGACAGGAAGAGAAGAAUUUGUGGGCAAUAAAAUAGGAGAUUCCUAGUGCCACCUUCACACCCCUCUAAAUGAACAACUCUCUCCAGCCUUUUAUAUUAAGUGAUUAGAAAGAGUUAAAUGAGCAUGAUUACCAUGGAAAUUUCUUAGGCAUUAAUGUUUUCUACUUCUUCUCUAUUGAAUGCCCUUGUGAUAGAAGAGAAAGAACAAACAUCAAAAGUACCUUUUAACUUCACAAUUCUUUCUAAAUUUCUUUAAACUUAUAGGCUAUACUGCUGGCUUUCAAACUUCAAAGCAUGCAGGAAGAUCAGGGUCACACAGAAAAUUAUUUCUUACAGUUUAAUAAAAUAUGCAUGUGAAUUGUAUGACCUGCCGGAGAAAUUAUUUAUGUGUUAAUGUAAUGUUGUAACAUUAAUUACACACUUUAAUUUCUUCCUUAGUAGCUUCUUUACCAGUAAGAAUGAUACCAGUUCUAAACUGGGUUUGAAACAUAUGUUGUGUCACCAAAGCUUAAAUAAUUUCCAGACUCUGAUUUGCUUUUUCACUUGAACAAGAUAACAAUCUUUUUUUUUAAUUAUUUCUUUAGUAUUUGGGAAAAAGGAAGCAACUGAGAUCUUAUACCUUUAACUCACAGGUUUCAUGAUGGAUCAUUUUCAGCCUUGCACUUCCACAGUGUUAUAGUCUGUGCAUACUGUAUUUAUUAAUAGUUGCAGAAAUGCCUAUUGCAUGUUUUUUGUGAGUGAAUCACACAGCUUUUAUUUAUGGCCACUAUUGUAAAGUUCUGAAUCCCAUAGGACUGGUUCCUUUGGAUUUCUUUCCUUAGGGGAUUUCCUACUUAUUUUUCUAUGGUAUACAUGUGAUUAAAAUCACGUACAUGCUAGCGCAAGGAUGUGUACUGAGUCUUCUGACUUACUAUUCAUAUGAAGUUCUUGAUAGAUACAGAAAAGUUCUAUGUCAGUUAUUUCAACAGUGUCCUGUAGCGGCUUUAUAGUUCAAUUCUAAAUUGUCUGGAGGCAGUGAGAAUAAAAGAAAAUAGGUUCCUCUCUCCACUACUGUACAAAUUUUGUGUACGAUCUUUGCAAACCACCUACUUGUGUUUUAGUCUUCUUGAAUAUAAAUCUGAGGCCUAACUUCAUUAAAGUGGUUUGAAAUCAUUCAAGGGAAAAUGCUAUAGAUGUGCAAAAUAUUUUUACAAAAAUUAUUUGCUUUCAUCUCUGUUCAUUGUUUUACCUUUUAACAUUUCCUUGGUUACUUUUUUGUUCUUGUACUAUGGCCCAAGGUAAAUUAAGAAGAGUAAAUAAGAGAGCCAAUUUGGCAUUGCUGGUAUCAUUCUUUAUGUUAUAUAUGUCUGUCUUACUUUUCUUAUAUAAAUACUGCUUGUCUCUUUAAUCUUCUGAAGUGUCUACCUGUCUAGUAUUUCAAAGACUUUUAGUGACAACGAUGUUGGGGUUAUAAUUUUGUAUAAAAUUAUUUUUUGUGUGGGUGUCAAUGUCAAAUGGUUCACUGCUGUACUUCUUUUACUGUCACAGAAUAACCUAAAAUCAUAGAUCACUAAUGGCUAAUAUGUUUUCUCUAGCUAACAUGUUGCCUUUCUUGUAUUUUAUCCUAGCAUCAAUGCUAUCUCAUGGAAGAAGUUUUCCAAGUGCUCUACAUUCAGCCAGUCUUGAUGCCACUCAAUGAUCUCACGAUGCCAUCUGAGGCUUUUUUGUCACAAACAUGGAGAACUUGGAGGCCAAAUUGAUUUCACAAGCCUCCUAAUAAACAUAUGGCACUUAUACAUAAGUAGUUUUGGGGUGUGCUGGAUUUCAUUCAUAAUCCUCUACAUUCAAAAUUAUUUAGUAUCUAUUGCUAGACUUUAGAGUCAUACAGAUCUUUGCAGUUGUUAGGGUUGAGACAUGGGUCAGGACCUUAUGGCCAUCACCAAGUAUAAGUCACCACCUACAUAAGAAAGGUAGCUUUGUUCCGUAUAACAUCCUUUUUGGAAAAUGAAUUGAGAAAGCACAAUGUGUUUAUCCAAAUAGUGCAAAAUACCAAUGCCAGAAGUUCAGCCAGUACAAAGUACAUUGAGACUGUUACAAAAGUCACGGAGCAGUCAUAAGUAGAGGUGAACAACACGUUUUAUGGAAAAUACCAUUUAACUUGAGCUUUUCCCUGAAAUGCAAAUGAGCCAAAUAUGAAACUUUUUUGAGGUUAGGAAUAGUGUUUAAUUUUACAUUUUCUCACAUGUUGGCACUUCUUGGACUCUGUGGGAGCAAACAUGGGAUUACCAAAAUACCACAGGUAUUUUUUGGGUACUGCUGGUCUAAAGGAUGUCAGGAAAUACUGGAAACCAUAGAAAGACCUUUUUUCUUGACAUUUCCUACCAUUAGCAUUCUGGGAUGCUUUAGAUAAAUUUCCAGAGUCUUUGGUUGGAUGUCCAGGUUUUGCCUUUCUCCUUUAAAAUGUACUGAAUGGCCAAACUUUUUUGCAGUUCACUUGCAGCAGCUAAAAUGUUUCCAUUCAUUAUCAAUGAUACUAUCACAUCUUUGUUCCUCACUUAUUCAUGUCUUGUUCGUAGAUAUAGAUUCAGAUUAUUUAUAUUGCAAUCUAUUGAGUAAGUGGUUGAAUGUUUUCUUCUGACUAAAAAUUUUUGAUCAUUUGUGUUUAGGAUUAACACAGUGGAGCCCUGAGGUCUAAACCUAAAGAAUCUAAUUAUGAACCCAGGAGACGAAUGUCAGGGAUUGAAAAAAGGUGCGGGAUCCUGGCUGUUUGUUUAUUUUAACUUAUACAUUUGUCUAGCUAAAAAAUUGCUCAUUCUAGAAAGACCUAACUCCCUCCAGGAGUCUGCAGCACACAAUUAGACAGCUCCCCUUCUCUCCCUCCUCUAUGUUUUCUGUCUCUGCCACGGUCCCCUCCUCACAGUUCCCUUCCUACCCCAGAACUGCAUGUUGACCCUGAAUCUUCACAGCUUUUCUGUCAAGUGGUUGCCUGCCUCUGCCUUAUGCCAAUCUGACUGUUCUCAAAGGUUCAUUUGUUAGCUCAGCUCACACUGACAUCAUGUCUGUGGUACAGAUUUCCCCAAAAUGAGUGAAUUCUGCUCUUCUCACAGGUCAGUGUUCUCCCUUUGCCUUCCUGUCCUGGUAUAGCUUUGCUGAGAGUAGCUAAGCUGGAAGAGGACUGCUAAGUAUGGCCUGGUGCUGGGAUGGACAUGGUGGAAGACAUGAGGAACAGCAGCCCCUGGGAGGUGUGCCACAUCCACAGAGCCCAUGAGCAUCACCCAAACCCUGGCUGAAGUUUCAUCCCUUUCUGGGUUCCUCUACAGAACAUGUUCCUUGGUUCAUGUCCCAGAUAAUCCCCUUCAGCAAACACUUGUUUGGGUAUAUUAUCACACCAGGGCAGCCUCAAGCUUUCUCCCAGUUAACUCAUAAUUCUGCUCAUCAGCCCCUCUGCUAUUCAAGCUGUCUCAAGGCUUCAAAAUUUUGUGGUAUUUGUUUAAGAUAGCACUGAUAUGUGCUAUCUUAAACAUGUGUUUAAGAUAUGUUUAAGAUAUGUGUGAUAACACAUGCUAUAAGCUUGCUCUAAAUUUUCAGGUGUGUUAUAGUUAUACAUCCAUGAUCCAGCCCACAGCAUGUUAAACCCAUCCAAAUGGCCAGAUAGACGUUAACAACAAAUUUGUACUUAGAUGGCCUCAGCAGUGGUGUAUUUCCUGCAUAUCUACUCUGUUUUCCACUGGGUAUUAAAACAAGAUCAGUACUGCUAUUAUGCUCCAUCAUCUUUCCUGAUCAAAUCAGUCCAUUAACUGAGAGGACUGUCUGGCUAUAUUUACAUACAACACGUUUCUUUCCUAUUCCUCAUUAUACAUAUGUAAUUAUUUUUACAUUGCAUUCCCAAAGGUGAAUGACAGCAUACAGAUACCAGAGAUGCUAUUCUGCCUCCAGCAAAUGCUCUGAGAAGUGUAUGGUAUUAGUAAGGACCCUGUUUCCUUGGUUACAUUUAGCAAAUUUGCAUGCCAGCACGGUGCUAUUCAUCAUCAGAGACAUCGUAGACCUGUCCAUGGAGAGAGGGUUUUGGAACUGAAUAACCUUUGCAUUCUUAGCUUCUGUUUUGAAUAUAUGGAUGAGGGGAAAAUAGUCGUCAAGAUAUGCGUAGUGAGAGAUAGGCAGGCUGAGAAGCUCAGUCCUAGAAGCUUUUGGGAAUGAAAUCCAGUCCUUUACAAGACUAGGCAAAGUGUCUGUUGUUGCAGUAGCAGUUUAUACGUUUGGCUCUAGUACUGCUUAAGAAUGACCACAAGAUAAUUAAAUGAUCUUGCUCAGGACUUGUGUCCUGGCCACUGUCUCUGGUUACGCACUGUCAUGGGGAGGGGCAGGACUGUGCUGUUACAGGCUCACCCAGCUUUCCCUGGAACAUGAGGUAUAAGGGAGAUUUUUUUCCUAGGUGUGUAAAAGCAAUGGAUCAAGAGCAAGCUACCCUGGCCACAGAGGCCAAACUAGUGAAGGCAGACCAAUAGAGACUGUCCUGGAAACUAAAGCUCCCCCUCUCAGAUAGCCUAUGGUAGAAAUACCGCCUGCCUUCUUGAAGGCAUGCGUGCCUUGGCUGGAAGGGAUCAGCCUUGUCCUAGCAGGCACAGCUUCUCCCAUAUCCCCCCAGACACAGUGGAUAGGUGAUGUCUCAUUCCUGCAGCAAUCACUGGAAAUGGGAAUCUCCCCUGAAUGACCUAACUGUGCCACUGUAUACAAAUUCAACUACAGGUCCAGUCCUAGCUGACAGUUUCAGUGAACAAUCCAAAGCCAAGGUAAAGCAUUCAUUGAAUUGAUCUUUUCAGAACUUUUUUGUUAAAAGUUUAUUGUGUCCAUUUAGUGACAGACAGCCAAUGAGCCUGCCACUCACUGAAUAAAAGCUCUGUUACAUUUCAGACUGGGCAAAGACAAAAAGGGUACUGCAGUGCCCCGGAAAUGGAUGAGGAUUCAGGGUUCUCGGUUCCUCUGCCAUCAUCAGCCGCACACGUGCGGGGGUUGGAGCCAGCCUGAGAGCUAAGCCUUAACUGCUUGCGGUAAUCACCAGCCUGAAAUCAUAAGGGAGGCCUUCAGACUCUGGAUUCUCCUGUUUGUAAGCAAAGACCUGCAGAGUUUACUGGCUCCCCUGCCAAAGACAUCGGUGGCUACAUCCGUACGAGGAAAUAAAGUGCAUCCUGGCUCUCUUCUGGCCAACUGAAAGGGUGUGGCUCAUGCUCAUAGGACUGAACUCUCCUGUCCUUCAAACCCUGGUGGCUGCAUCCAAACUGCCUAUGGGGAGUGGUCCUUGGCCGUUGUUCACCCAUGAGCCAUGCCGAGGACUUGCUGGAGAAUGGGCUAGCAAGCAUGACGAAAGCUGUGCCGGAUAUUGUCCUCAUAUCUAAAGGUAUGGACAAUCAAGGGGUAGCAGUGGGCCUAUGCCCUGGCACUUUUUUUUCAGUAAUAAAGACUGAGCCAGCUUGAUGCUGGUUACUUGCUGCUGUGACUGUAGUCUGCCUUCCUGGGCAAGUGUAAGGAGACCACCAUAGUGGCCAUUUUUGAGUAUCAUCAGUCUUCCCUGCAACUCCUUUUGCUAAGUUUCAAUAUGACGCUCUUUGUGAAUGAACUUUUUUGUCUCUAGACGGAGAUUGAAUGUCCUUGUUUAACCCACUUGAUUUUCAUCCUGUUCAUCAUUAAAUAUUCAGUAACAAAUUUACUUUUUGUUGAGGUGUAUGUAUCUACUGUCAAAGCUCUGUUGCUGUUCUGAGAAGAUAAGAUUGGAAAUUACAGAGAGUUCAUCUGGCAGUGGUGCAUCUCCAAAGCAGUAUGGACCAGUGAGAGCAUGUAAAGGCAAUCGGCAUCAUUGUUGUCCUUUAAAACCUGGGAAGACAGCCAACGCUGGUUAGCUUUUAUACCCAGCUCUUGAGUCCAGUGUAUAUCAUGGAUACAGCUUGAAUCUGUGGUGGAAAGAGACCUGGAUGGACAGAUCUACACCUUGUCUCUCACUGCAUGCCCAUUUUCCCAUUGGAACCUAUAGACCAAAGCAGCAGGAGACAUGCCAUGAAAAGCCCCAGAACUCAGAUGCCUUCCACAAACACAGGAGAGUAAACUUCCUGCCAGACCCUAAAAAUGGGACAGAUGUCAAGAUGUCCCAGCUCUGAAUCCAGUGACUUUGCCAUGAGAUUGCAGCUGUGAAAGCAACGCCCAAGAUUUUAUUAUGAUGUCCUGUAGAAGGAGGAACGUGGAACGCUUGGUCUACAGGCCCAAACGGUGAUUGGUUCUGGUGUUUUUAGAACUGUCUACUGCAUCCUGAACAUUUUCCAUGCGUCAGUGACUGGGAACAUUUUAAGCUGGCGUCAAAGAUAGAGUCUGUGGGGAAGCCUGCACACAAAUAACACUUCUUCAUUGUUCUUGCUCAGCAGUGAUCAUGCCUUUUGCGAGCUGCUUCACCCAUUGCAGCAGAAGAGUAAACUAAAAAUAAUCAAUCAGAUAAUUUUUUUCCUAAGGAAUCCAUAUUCUUAUUUUCAGAGCCAAUGUACCACUGGAUGACAGAAAGAGAAAGUGCCCAACUCCAUUAGCACCAGCCACCCAGUAGAGCCCGACUUGGCAGGCGUGUGAUAACAGCAGUGUAAGGAAGCAUAGGAGAGGCCACACAGGAAGAUUAUAUAAAUGAGAACCACAGUUGUAGAUGAAUAGUGGAAUACAAUGAAAUGGGCUAGACGAUACUGGAUGUCCUUUAGCAUAAGGAAACAAUCUAAUUUCUGUAAGCGUUUACUGAGGAAAAAAUGCCUUGACAUCAGCAUAUGUAGACCACAAUCUACAAGAGCGACCUAAAAAAAUAGCUUCAAAUCUUGAAGUAGUCUUCUAAGCAGAGACACUUAUGAAACAAGGGUCACCUUUGAAAAUGCAGUGGCUGAUACCUCCCAUUGGAGUCCAACCUUACGCACCUUAUUUUAUCAUAUUUAGCUGUGAGGUAGGAGGGGAAGGUGAACAUUAGUGUGUUGUACACUGUGAGCUUACAGAUUUGGUCAGGGUCAUUAAAAUUUUGAAGGGUGUCUUCACAGGCCAGAAGGGAAACAAAAGUGUGAUAAUCUGUCUCUGAAGAGGCACUGGAAGCUGCAUUUGCCAGGUCUUUGUGAGUGACCUAGGCCUAUAUCCAUCCCAUCAAACUGGAGGCAUCACAACAACUGUGGGAACUACCUCAGCUACUCAUGCAUGCUCUGCUGUGCAGUAUCUGCCAGAAGCUCCAGCCAUGGCCCCAAGCUACAAAGAGCUGCAGAAGGCAAGGAACCAAAUGCUGAUUUUUGUCAGUGAUUUACUCCCUCUGCAUUUGGUCUGGGUAAGAAAUGGUAGGAAAGGAAAGGGGAAAGCAAAGCAAAGUAAUAGGGAAAGAUACUGAGACUACAGGUACUCUUGACCUUGCCUAUAUAGAAGCUAGAAGGAAGACAGUCAUCUAGAAGUGUGCAAAAGAUGGAAUUUACUCACCAAGACAAGGUAAAGAAAGAAGCUAAAAGUCCAGAGGGAAUACGAUAUUUAGUGAAAAACCAUCUAAAAAGCAGUUCCCUUAGGAAACAGUUAAUUGCUGCAUUCAGAAGACUUUGGCUAUCUCUAGGAGCUCUCAUAGCUGCUACCUCUUGGACCACAAAUGGGUAAAUUCCACUUACUGGCUGUGUAGGAAAUCCGAGGUGUCAAAAACAAGAAAUUCACAUAGCAACCAGAUUUUGAACAGGAAAAGAGUGUAAGUCCCCACAAAAAGCUCAUUGUGGAUGUUUUUAUGGAGAAGGAAAGAGAGUGUAACUUUCAGGCCUUCAAGCAAAGGCCAGGGAAUUUCAGCAAUGUUACACCUGGGUCCUGGAGGGAGACCUAAGUUGAAGCUAACAGAAAUUGAGAAAAUCCUCUCUCUCCCUGUAAAUGUGCAUACAAUUAUAACUUAGGAUUCAUAAUUUUCGAAAAUAGCUUCUUCUCUGAUGAAAGGAAGGUCCUGUGUUGAGUGUCCUGUAUAUCAUCUAUAAAUUUUUUUCUGAAAAAGUCUCUACUGCCUGUAUUUGUACACUUUGGAAACAAGAUACUUCUGCUUGUCCUCACUUUUGAAUUCUGAGCUGGAAAUCCUGUUUACCAAGUUACCACUUGCCUGGGUAAAAAGUUUCUUUGCUAGCUCUUUACUCCUGGGACACAUAGAGCUCUGAGGAAAAAGAAUAAUUUGCAACACAUAAUUUAUUUGGCAAAGUUAGCCUUUUGCUCUUUUUUCCAUGAGCGCAGCAGCAGCAUGGUUUCUUGAAUGUACUCAUUAUUCCAAUAUAGUCUCUGAAUAAACAGCCGAACACUCUGUACUGUCAGAUGUUGCCAUGACAUGUUGACUGGUGAUGCAUCUCUCCGAAGGCUUGGCUGAUCACGCUGAGGUUGAGAACAUUUAUGCAGAGAAAAUAUCCCGCUGUGGAUUGUAAUUUGCCUCUGAGUCCCUCUCCCCCCAUUCUAAAAGGCUGAUCUGUGUGAUUAUAAAGGCUAAACUGAGAUGCAGGUGGUGUGAGGGGGCAUGAAAGAAGAGCCUACUAUUCUGCAGUUCUGUCGUGUCUGAUAGGAAAAGCAGUUUCAUACCAAGGAUGUUUUUCUCUAUUUCAUUAUUCAGAAGGAAUUUAUGGAGAUAGCUGAAGAGGAGGGAGGAAAAGCAACUGAGUUUGGUCUAUCCCAGUGCCUGACUGACUUGCUCAGGGUUGUGGUGGUGUUUUCUACCUAGACAAGACUUCCUUGUCUGUCUGCAUCUCAAGUCAAGCUGCUGUGGCACUAGUCCAGGGUGGAGAGAAUCUGCUGAGGAUCUCUUUGAGCAGUGCAAGCAGAGCUGGGAGGGCCAGGGCAUGUGGGAAGAGUUGGCAGGGUGAGAGGGAAUGAGGUAUCCCCAUCUGCACAAGGCACAGGAAGCAGUUGGUGGGAGAGAGGAACCAAGUUGAGGCCAGUUCUUUGUUUAGAAAAGGGUGGAAAAAUGCACGUAUUUCCUUAUCUAACACCUACGCCAUGCAAAAACAGAAGACUGUGCAUGAGACUGUUGUGGUGGAAACACACUGGCAGCCUCAGUGUCUAUCACAGCUCUGCUCAGUCACUUUGACUUGGACAAAAAAAAGCAUCAAAUACAUGUGGGACAUUCCACAGUUGGAAGAUGUCAUCUGCCUGAGUGUACGAUGCAAAAUCGACAGUAAGGUAGAUGCAUGAACACAAGUUGAUUUAAGCUGGCAGUGCUUUAACUUCACUGUUCUGUAGGCAAAUACACAUCCUGCAUCACAAACUGAAUUUAGAAAAAAUUGUAGAUAGCUUAUUUGUGCACAGAAACUAUAGUAUUUUGUCCUUUUUAUGAGAUGUAUAAUAAUGCAUCGUUUCCCUUGCUAGCUAAUAGUCAAAGGCAGGUCUUAACUUUGGUGAAAGUGAGAGAUGCUACCAGAACUCAGAUUGAAUUUGGCACAUCAAUUGCUAUAACCUCAAAUCAUCAAAUGAUGGUUAUCAGUGUUCACACUGGGUCUGGAUCUGAAAAGCACCAAGUAGUUGCAACUUAGAGGGGCUUCCCACAGGGUAGUUGCAAUUUUUCUCAUCUCUCACAACUGGGUCCCAUCACAAUAGGAAGUCUUGGAAGGAAGGGAAGGGUUGGUUAUACCACUGCCUGCUUCCAUUCCUCAAGUGAAACUCCUGCGUAAUACAAACAGCUCUCUGUAUCAACCACAAGGAUUGCAGAGGGUGCAGAUUUAAAAAAAAAAAACAACUCCUCCUGAGACAUCUUGAUUGCAGAUGUUAUUAAAUGAUUCUCUGGUGCUGGAAAUAUUCAUCCUGGCUACAUGUUGAUCAUAGAAUACAUUCCGUUCUCAUGGUUUUCCGACUCAAAAAAUGGAAGAAAUGCCUCAGAAUGUAACGAGGGAGAAAAAUACUUCUGUAUGUGGUGAUAGUUCUCCCUAUCUUUUGGUCUGGGAGUCAGAUUCCUGCCUGAGGGGGCCUGUGCGAGGGACGGUGAAAGUAAUUAUCCUGUCAGCUUAAAUAUGAUUUUCUUCUACGUGUCUGUUUCUCAUGAUGUCAGUUGAUUAACCUGUCAGUCAUCUUUGCAUGGCAUGUGGCCACAUGAUGUCAUGUGCUGAGGCACAUGGUUUAUUAUGCUAGUCUAACGUAAAAUUGAAAAAGACUCCAAUGUAAACCUUAUUUCUUCACCUACAUUUUGUAUUUUUCUUUUGCUUCAGUCUUACAUGCUCCUUCUUUUCUUGACUCCUCCUCAUCUUACGUAACUUCUUUUUUCUCUUCCCUGACUCAUUUUUUCCUUUAAUUUGCUAUCUUGUUUCAUCUCACUUUUUCUUUUUCUCUCCCACACCGUAGUUAUGCUCCACCCUUCUUGCAUUCCUCCAACCCAUCUCCUCAUUGUUUGCACGUCACGGCAGACCACAGCGACCAUUUUGCCUUUGCCUUCUUUACUACAUGGUGCUCCUCUCAGUCCUCCUAAGAUGGAUGUGAGCCAUUCUGAAAAAGGAAAAAAAAAAUUGAAAAUCACACAUCUUCACCUUAACUGCCCUGGUUAUCUCAGAAAAACUGGGGGCAAUCUAGACACUGCUAUAGGUUACAUGUAAACCUUCCCUGUACAAAACUUCUGUGAGUUUUACUCUUUUCUCAGUGGUUCCAGGACUUCAUUGUAAAGGAUUUCACUUGAAUAUCCCCAAAUGGCAGUAAAGUCUUCUUUAUUUGUUACCUCAUUCUUCUCCCUGAUUUGGUAUUAGAGCACUGAAUCUCAAACAGGCGUCAUGGCCAUUUAAUUUGGGGAAGAACAUCUUAGCUAGAGCCUAGCUGGAUGGGAGGAGGAUUAAAGAUGAAGACUUAGCAUGAGAAAGGUUGAAAGACACUAGGGCAGCCAUCAUAUUCCUUUAACUGAAACCAAAAUAUGUAUCAUAUGUAUUUUGUUAGCUUGGGAUGCAGGGAGUGUAAAAAUUACACAAUAAAUUAUUCCACCUCUAUCUGCCUUGAGGCCCAUGCCAAGCACAGGGUGGCCAUGUCAGAGAUUUGACAUAAGGUGUUCCUAUGUCAGAAAUUCAAAUAUCAGGUGCAGCACACAUUAGCAAGCUGAGGAUGGGAUUGUGGGAAUGCAUUUCUCACACAGACUAAACCUGUUCUUCAAAUUUCACAUGGGCAAUGUGCUUUCCCAUCCAGGUGGAGGACAGUUAUGUAUGAAUUCUGCUCUCAGUGACCAGGAGUGGAGACAUAAAAAGAACUAUUCAAUGUCUCUGGUUACAGAGGUAAGUGAAAGAGUCAUUGGCAAUAACUCUGUAGUAAUAGCAGCAGUAAGUACUGGGCAUGAUUUGAAUCUCUUGAUAGUGAUACCAGGAUGCCAGAAUAUUUAUCAAGCCAUUAGGAGAGGCUGUGCCUAGCUGAUAAGAUGACUACAACUGAUGAAGUCCACCUGAAGACUCUGAUGAUGCUGGGACAGAUUUGCUGCCAACAACAGUGGUUGGCAGGGAACACUGCCCUUAAGAGCGGCAUGUACUGUUUGUCAGCAAAAUUAUACAAUCUCCUGCCUGCGGCAAGCUUGUGGAAUCUUUAAUAGACAGACUUAAGAAACAUCCUGAUGUAUACAUUCCUUAUGGCUGGGGAACCAAGAACAGCCUGCCCUGUCGAGAAAUGGUUUCACUGAGUUGGUGACAGUGGGGAGGGUGAGGGCGAGAGAAAACCAGUUCCAAGAGAGAUUAAUCCAGUGCCUCAUUUUAAACUGUCUCUAUAUCAAACUCAGCCAAAUUUGUGAUGGUUCUGUCCUUGGAAGAUUAAAUUGCCCAAUUUAUAUCACUUAAUGUCUCUUAGUGUCAUCAAAUCAAAAGAACGCUCCGUCAUUUUGACUUGAACUAGAUUGGGAACAGAUUUUUCGCUAUAAUCAUCUGUUAGCAACAUGAAUGAGGAAGGAUUUGUCUCUGCUUUUCUGAUGUUCAGUCAGCACAUGCACUGUAUCAUGGAUAAGAUCAGGUGCUAGCACUUGAAUUUAAGUUGAGAAGUGUUUUUUCUUUCUGUGGUUUUUGUUAGUCAAGGCUUUAAUAAUUGUAGAAAGAUUUUAUUACCUACUUUGUCUCAAUUGCUUAUCAUCUGCCCAGGUAAAGCACCGAAGUUAACACUGGCAUUUCUUUUCCCUUCUUGUUUUAUUGUGGAAGCUCCUCUGCUGCUGAUCAGAACCCUCUGGAACAUGGAAGCUGUGGUGUGGCCAUCAGGCUAUGCAAGUUCAAAAUACAUUUUCUGUAUUUCUGUGUCUUUCUGUGUGUAGAGGUAUAGACAGAGAGCUCAACAUAAACAGACAAGUUUUCCCUAAAGAAGUUUUAAAGAGCAUAACCAUAAAGGAUUUAUAAAUUAAAAGGCUUUGUGCUGUUUACUUCCAAUAAACAGAAAACAGUAGAAUGAAAGAAGGAAUGGAGAACCAACUUGUUUUGCUGUUCACAAUGAAUUA